UAGGGAAUCUUCCUCAAUGGACGCAAGUCUGAUGGAGCAACGCCGCGUGAGUGAAGAAGGUUUUCGGAUCGUAAAGCUCUGUUGUUGGUGAAGAAGGAUAGAGGCAGUAACUGGUCUUUAUUUGACGGUAAUCAACCAGAAAGUCACGGCUAACUACGUGCCAG
rnacentral:rRNA from 1 species